UACGGAGGGUGCAAGCGUUAUCCGGAUUCACUGGGUUUAAAGGGUGCGUAGGCGGGUAAGUAAGUCCGUGGUGAAAUCUCUGAGCUUAACUCAGAAACUGCCGUGGAUACUAUUUGCCUUGAAUAUUGUGGAGGUGAGCGGAAUAUGUCAUGUAGCGGUGAAAUGCUUAGAUAUGACAUAGAACACCAAUUGCGUAGGCAGCUUACUACACGAUCAUUGACGCUGAGGCACGAAAGCGUGGGGAGCAAACAGG
rnacentral:rRNA from 1 species